rnacentral:rRNA from 1 species
UACGUAGGGUGCGAGCGUUGUUCGGAAUUAUUGGGCGUAAAGGGCGCGUAGGCGGCCCUGUGUGUCGGGUGUGAAAGCCCACCUCUUAAAGGUGGAAUUGCAUUCGAAACUACAGGGCUGGAGUGUCGGAGAGGAUGGCGGAAUUCCUGGUGUAGAGGUGAAAUUCGUAGAUAUCAGGAGGAACACCGGUGGCGAAGGCGGCCAUCUGGACGACAACUGACGCUGAGGCGCGAAAAGCCAGGGGGAGCCAAAGCGGGG